AGAGGAGAAGUAAGACUGUCCCAUUGCAAGAGGUUUCAUUCUACUUCGUGCUGAACCAAAAGGAAUCGAUCAGGCAAGUGACUUUUUUUCCUUUGAUACUUAUUACUCUGCAAAAUAUUUUUCCUGAAAGGAAUGAUUCAUCUCUCUUCUUGUGUGGGUACCUCUGGAAGACCAAGGUUAAGGGGAUUUCCCCAGGAACCCAGAAACUACUGGGAUGAAGUAAGUUACUCUUGUAUUCACUGAGUGCUGAAGCAAGAUAAGGGAAUAGUUGCUUGAAACUGAGUCUGCACAAUAUGCCAAUUUUCCUGGGAACAUGAAGUGUUGUUGCCUAUGUGUUUAUGUAAGAAAACUUUGUAUUUUUUUUCAUUUCCCAGUUUCGAUCAAUUGUGAUCAUCCCAGUGUCCAUGUGUCUAACAAGGACAUGUCCAUGUCCUAACAUGCAAAGAAAUAAUGAAUCGGAAUGUAGUUUUGAAGUGAAAUCAAACCAAAGCCCUAAAGUUUGAGGCUCCUAACUUCUCAAAUCAGACUGGAGCUCUGGUCCCAUUGAGCUCUAUGGGAAUGUUGCUAUUGACUUCAUCAGCUCACAGCUGCACCUAAAAAUUUAGUGAACUAUUUGUUGAUAAAUCUGACAGUGCUGGGCUAAAGCACAAUGGUAUUUCUCACUGUAUAAAAGCCUAUUUACAUCAGAGUUUGAACUGAAUGCUACUCGGGUAAGUUUAGAGAAGUAUCUUUUGCACUUUGACCCAGUAUUGGAGGGAAAAAUCCUUCUGCACAGUAAUCUAUGUUCUCAUUGUAACAUCUUAUCUUGAAAACCCUCACUGUAGUUGUAUUUCAAGUUCUUUGUAAAGGCAUGUCAACCAGGCCAGACCAGUAGAAUAUAUCUGAAGUAAAGUCAGUGUUCAUGAUGGUCUAAUGGAAUUACAUCUCAAAGUAGCACAGGGCCUGUGUGCAGGCUGCUGCACCCACCAAGAGGACCGUACGGACUGCUUGUUAUCUCCCACUUCUUCCAGGAAUGACACUGCCUUGGAAUGCCUCUUGCAGCUUUGCAGGAAGACCAGAGGGGCUGCACCUGGACCUGGGGAUUCCACCUAGGGCAGUAACAACCUUCCUGGGUAUCCUGAGCACGAGGAGACAAAUUUGCAGGGACAGCUGGAGGAGCACAUGGGAUGGUGUGCAGCACAGAGGAGGGAGCCGACAUGAGAAAAGCACCAAGAACAAUGUGAGCAUGACCCAGGACUGCCCACCUCCAGGCUCCUUCCAGCAACAUGCUGCUCCUUCCAGGUGGAGCCACAGCAAGACAACUGUGGGAACACAAUCUCAGACUUCAGCAUCCUCAGGUAUCUCAUGAUACAUGCGUAGUUCCCAACCGGAUGUUCCCAACCACUUUGCUACCCAACCUCCGAUGUCUGUUAAGCUCUCCUUUCCUAUGGUGAGUUCUCUGCAGAAAACAGCAAUGAGAGAGAGGGACCCCCAUAUGUGUGCCGACCUCAGAAAGUUUGAGAGACACCAAGCCUCUUACAGUGCUCACAGGCACAUCUGAGCAAAGCCCCACACAUAAUGCCGUCGCGUUAUUCCUUUUCACGUAGCCGCUGAUCCAUGACACUGGAAGUGUUUUAAAGACAAUGACCCCGAGUCUCAGCAAUGGAGCUGGGGGUGCUGGAAAUGCCCGGUCUGUUCCUACAUCUGCAGUUUAGGUUACGUGAUCUUACCAUGCUGUUUCAAAACCACAAAACGCUGUGGGGGUGUUUGCGGAUUUGCACAUCUCUUAUACUGCACCAUUGUAUGGUAAGUUAUACUGGAGCCUCUCCUGAGCUCAAUAACAAAAGCCCAUUGUGUGAGGGUGUUAUACCCCACGUGCUCAGCCCAGGACGUAUUUGUGUCUCAUGAAAGUACUGAGGAUCUUGCAUGAGAAUUGCUUUCUAGUAUUUCUGCAUGGAUUUUAAUGACAUUUGUGCAGAUGCACAGCUGAUAAAAGGAAUCUUUUUCAGUUCAGCUGUAGCAGCCAUUCCUAGCAAAGCUAGAUUUUUAGUAGCAGCCUCCAGAAUUGUUGCUGUAUCAUUUGGUGUUACUCCUUUGUAUUUGCCAAGGGUGUGCUCGAGUGGAUUUCCACUAAAUAGGGUAUGUCUGUACAUGGCCGGGGGAGGGCUUGUGCCACUCCAUGAAAGCUAAAUCAAGUGCAGGGCAACUGCACGGGAGGAUAUGUGCAGAAUAAGCUCAUCUUUUCAGCACAAUUCUGUUUCACAUUAGUAGACGAUUAAGUUUCAUUGCAAGAUCAAACCCUUUGUGUCUUGCAGUGUAUUCCUGACUUUGUUUGAUAAAACUUGAUAAGAGCUGAAGGUGUAAGUGGCAGGUGUGACCAUGCUUCCAUGACAGAAGGGGCUGGCAACAGAUCCAGAAGUGGAUCACAGAUUGGUGGAUCAGCACUAAAGGGACUGUGGGGAAAAAAAUGGUGGAGGGGUUUCUGGGCUGCCCCUCGAGUCCCUGUGUGGUGCAGCUCCAGACUGCGCUGCUGGGAGCCCACCGUGCUGCCCCAUGGCAGUGGGGCUGCCCAGCAGUGCUCUGCAGGGCUGGGAUGGUGCACCCCUCCCCCUUCCUAAAUCCUGCAGGGCCCAAGCUUAUUUGUACAACAAACAAGGCCCGACUGGAGUUUACCGUGCAGAAUUGUGCCUCUCUAAUAUAAUUCAGCUGCGUGGGUAUUUCAUUGCAAAGAAAAUAGAGCGAUGACUUCCACGAGGUGCCUUCAUCGGUGGCCACUGCAUUAAUGCUAAUUGCUCAUUUGACUUCAUCACGUUUAAAGAAGUGCACUGGGCAUGAUUCUGAAAAAAUGUCCAUCAGCAGUGACUCAUUAAAGUAUUGGGAGUUACAGGCACAAGCGGGAUCAGAGUCACCGCUGCUUCUCGGCUCUGUCACACAGGCACUAACCCUUUAUAAAUCAUUAAUUUCCAGACUGUUUAUUAUCCAGGGGAAGUAACAAAGCAGUAGUAUCACAUAACACAUCCUAAGAAUGCCUUGUUCAUUUUAAGAGCAAAUAAAACUAAAUAGCACCAAGUUGUUAGUGAUGCAGCCUACGAGACGGAGCAGAAAGACAAAAAGGGGGAUGAAUCAGGCUGGGGCCACAGAACAAACAGGGGAACGGGUCAAAAAAGCCCCUGUGCGAGAGAGCCUCCACGUCCCGUACCUUCACGCAGGCACUGUUUGUUUGCUACCAGGUGGAAAUUGGCUCUGCUGGCUGCGCUGGGGCGGCACAGCAGUGCUAUGGGUGGGAAGCUUUCCCCAGCUGCUGUUGCCAUCCGUCGGCGCUCUCACAGGACCGAUUCAGCUCCUGUCCAUGGAGCAGCGCGGAGCCGCCGCUCCAAAAAAUAAUAAUCCAAAUUAAUUACUUUGUCGAGAAAGCAAACUGCUGUUGUUUUGCUUACAAGCUCCCUUCUCUAAUGCAUUGGUCACAUGUUGCUCGGCUGUGAGGAGGGGAUGGCAUCAACGCACAGAAAGGAGCGCUGUGUUUGUGUCGGCUGUGCCAUGUGGGGCUGCAGUGUGGGCUGGGGGUGAAGGCAGGAGGAUGGGACCCAAUUCGUAGUGCUCCCGGGGGCACUGCUGGCAGCUGAGCUGUGCACCGUUGUUUAUUCCUCACAGUCCUGCUACUAACAGCAAUGCCAGGCACUGUCAGGCCUCACAAGCUCAGACUGUGUUGACUUCUUGUCAGCUUAGCUUAAAGCCAUCCCUGGUUUCAGAGGUAAAAAGCCCUUUUCUGGCCAGCAUUACUGAGCCUACACUGGGCCGGCUUUUUUGCUCGCCUCAUUCAGCAGUGAAGUAUUAUAUUUCUGAAGGUGAUGCUAACCGCAGUCCAGGCCUCCGAGAUGAUUAUGGCCCAUGUGUUACUUAUUUUAAUCUCUUAAGGUUCCAAAACACUCUAUUUUUACAGUUGCCAUUUGAAGUUAUUGUUAGUUGCAAAUUAUUAGAAACAUAGUUUCAUCUAUAACAUGCAGGAUUAAUUUAAUCUUUACCAUAUUUUGUUUUACAUCACACAGGAAGCAUUUUAGUCUGAUGAAUACCACGGGUGUGUAAUUAGUGCUUUAUACAGUAAACUUGAUUAUAACUUACACUGUCCUCCCUGGCUCCAAAGAUCCCUGCCGAUUUUCAUUCAGUUGCUGCCCUCUCUCUGAACGAAAGCAUUUCAGCUCAACCAUUAUCAUUCAGACCACACCGGUACCUUUCCGUAGGUCGGAUGUGGUGGCAGUUCUAACUCAGGAGUUAAUGGGAAAGUCUCCAAUUAGACACUUGCUCUAUAUUUAGCAACUACCAGAUUUUAAAUGGUGACCACCUGAUUUCUCUAGCUGAGGUUUGCCUCAGUCAGGGCUUAACGGGCAUCAGGACUGGGAGAUAAAAGGAAAGGGAAACUGCUUCUGAGGUAUUUCUGAAUUUCAGUGAGAAGGAGGCACCUGCCCUGGCUGAAUGAAAGGCCCUUCACCUGCUUAUCUCCAUCUGCCAGCACUCAAACACCUCUAAAAAUCAGGCAGGAUGCUUUGGCUAAACACAUAACAGCAAAUCCAUCAAAAAACCACCUUGCUCCUUCGAUUUGUUCUUUGCGUUGGCUGAGAACCUUUGGCACUGAGGCAGCUCUGAGGUAGAUCUGCCCUUCGUAGCUUUGUAUGAAGACGGCUGAGGUGUAGUAGCAGCUUUAGGGCAUCUGAAAAAGGAGCUCCUCCGAUGAGCUCUGUGCUGCCGGGUGAAGCAUCCCGGGGUGGGAGCGCCCAUGUGGGCAAUGGGCCGGCUGUGUGCGGGGGGGCCUCGCCAGGAGGAGGGGGCAGCGGGGGGAGCGGGGCAGGCCAUCCAUUCUCCUAUUACAGGCCAUCCCUGUGUUUAUAUCAUCUUGUUUAGCUUACUCCUAAUGCACAUCCUAAGACGUACCUCUAAUACACAUCCUAAGACAUGUUUAUGAAAAUUCUUUAUAAGCAAAAUAUUUUACUUCCAUGGAGGAAGUUCAGAUACAGAGCAGCCUCGGCGCUGCGCGGUCCCGCCGUGCUCCUGCCCUCUCUCCCUGUGCAUCUCUUCCUGAAAAAUUCAGCCUCCAGCCCACCCACAUUACCGCUGCAAGAGCCAAUAAUCGUAACAUAUGGAUCCUCGGCCAAUCUUGUUUUGUUCUCGCUAACAUGUUUGCAAGCAGUAAUCAUUCUUCAGAAGAUUAAAUACUACUUAAGGUGAGUUGUUAGCUGGACAGCCAGCAAUGGGAUUUUGGAUCCAUUUUUGGUUUUAAUUCUUGCGGUGCUUCUUCAGAGCAGACCCCCAUCCCUCCGUGCAGCACAAAUUCCCUCAGUGUGAUUCUCCACCGCCCACGAAUUGGGAAAUCUGAAACAUCAGACGGGCUCAAAUCAACAGCAUCAUCGAAAUGCCCAAACAUACAAACACACCUCCGUCUGAAAAGGAUUUUGAGCGUUUACUGAACCCAUUGACUCCAUUUGUGAGUGCUCAGCACUUCUGAAAAUCAGGCAAGAAGCUUUUAAAGAUUAAACAAUAGGCCGACUCCAGCAGGAAAUAAAAUCAUUUAAAUUUUGAAGAGAGACACAUAAAAAGGGGACGUGACAUUCGAGAGAUAUUUUAUUAUGUUAGACAGCAAAUUCAUAGGAAAUGCUUUUUCUGUGAAGUGAUUUAUGGUGCUGAGGGACUCAUGGCCACAGAGACAAGGCUUUAAAAGUUUCAGGCACAGACUGGAUGACAGAACUAUCUUUGUUUAACUGUAAUUGCUAAUAGCGUAUCUGCAAGGGUUGCUUAACCUCAGGCUUUGGGGUCUAAUCUAUACUCUGGUUUCCAGGUCAAGAUGAAGCCUAACGUGGUGGCUGGUUAUCUCACAUCAGCUUAAUGCAAGCUCCUUCUCACUGCCUGCCCUGAGCACACCAUCAAGCAUUGGUGCUCAGACACGUCAGGAGGAGGUACUGUGCAAACGCCCUGCAAAGGGAUUCUGCAGGUAGAAGACAAGAGACAAUGAGACGUACAAGGGCAGCAAUAAUGGGCUACUUAGGUCAAAGUUUUCUUCCUUGAUACUACGAUGCAGCCCCAAAGUCUCAUUCUACACAGACCCCAUCCCACACACCCAAAUCUCAGACUCAUCAGAAUGCAGAUGACCACAGCUUGCUGCAGUGCUGCACUCAGCCUUCUCCUGCAUUAUUUAUGGUUAUUCUCUUUGGGAAAGAAAAUAAACAACAACAACAAACAACAAAAAACAACAAAUAGUUUACACGCUUUUAAAACUCAUAAAUAUAACAAACCCAAGGCAAUUUGGCAAACCUGCCUUAUGGCUGGUGGCCCACCUUGGGCCUGCUCAUGUGGUCGUGCUGACAUGUCUUUCUACCUCCAAGGAAUCUGUCACUUGGAGCCAAUCUAUCACAGUGACACACCGCUCAGAACACUUCUUUCUCUUUAUUCAUCCAUUACUUCACUUCCUGCCAUCCAUCUCCCUUGAGAUUUCUUUUCCUUAUUUUUAAUACCUGUGCCAAGUUGUAUCGCUGCCAUCUAUUUACCCACUGUGAUCAUCAGACUAAAACCAGAAAGAGACUGAAGCCAUCGGGCCAAAAUCUGAUUACCUGCAUCUCUUUUUAUUCACGUAUCAUUGAUGGUAUCUGGAGAACUGAACGUGCACUGAGUUUGAAUGAAUACAUUUCACAUAUGAGUGAGUUAAACAGAGAAUUCUGCUUCACAGGUACUGGGGGGAGGGGAGGGGGAAUGACGGUAUUAGCUUAGAUUUCCCAAAAAGCUCUAGAAAAAAACCCUGAGAUUUUUUUAUCUAUCUAUCUAUCUAUCUAUCUAUCUAUCCAUCCGUCCAUCCAUCCGUCCAUCCAUCCAUAUAUAUUCUGGAAAUGUUCUGUUUAUUCUCUGGGGAUUGUGACCUUGGGGUGAACCCCACGGAGACCCCACAUUUUCAAGAUGUUCUUUGUUAUCACAUGUUUUAAGAUUACUUUACAGGUCCACGGAAGAAAAGCUUCUCAUACAACCAUUUGUUUCUCUAAGAACUUCAGUUCUAAAUGAAACAUCAAAUAUCGUGGGAGCUGGUAACCCGAAACCCAACAGUUUGUAUCAAGAAACUGCUUGAUACAACAGUGAGUGCUCUGAAAGCAGGCAUUCAUUUCCAGAAGUGCCAUCAGCUGGCCACGUAUUGAUACGUCCCCAGAACUCAUGAAGUUUGCAGACAUGCAUCCUUAGACAGGCACUACUGAAUUAGAGCAUUUUCCCUCUUUUCUCAGAAAUGCACGGAUGGAAUUUCCAUAAUGUAUUGCAGAUAACACACAAUUCCACGUAAAGCCUGAAUAAAUACAAUCAGUGUUCCUUGAAUGAAUGUUGAUAAGGAGCAGGGCAGGAGAGCGGCUGACAGGCUGCCAUGCUGGGCCAGAGCCCAUCUGCACCCACCCACGGGGUAGGACAGCGUAUGUGCGAGAUGUCCUCUGGCUGUGGAGGGACAUCCCAAAGGAAAAGCUGGAGAGCCCAUUCCUUAGGCUACACAGGUGAAUCUAUGGAUGAUGAUUUUUGUCCUUCCUAUUUCGUAUUAUCAGUAGCACGCUUUUGCUAGGCGGAGCAUCAGGUGAGCUAAACGUGUUCAUGGUCUUCACUAGCACAAAUUCAGUGCAGAGCUGUACAGAAAUUAGGGGACAGCCUGCAACACCCCCGGGACAAGCAAACUGGGGUUUGCACUGUGGUAUGCAUGUGGGCUUCACACACUGUCAAUCCUUUCUUUGUUUCCUGAAAUUUCAAGCUCCUUGCAAGCCCUUAGCUAUAUAAUGCCUUAUUUUAGCAUAACUGUUCCUGAUAAAUCCCUGUAGAUACCAAAAUAUGUGAAAAGCAGCUUAGCCCUGGGGAACACCCCCAGUCCCUCAUUAGAAAAAGAUGGGGUAGAGUAUCUUAAAGCAAACAAAAAAAGUGAUGUCCCUGUUAUAGAAUUCCGCGACUUGAGGUAAACCAACCCUAGCCCAGGAAACUGUAUCCUGGGUUACUCAUUCGGAGUAUUCCUCCCUGAGCGGCUGCUUGUUUGUGUACGGCUGCCCCGGGCUAUUGCUGCAAAAUUCCUCGUGCUGAAGCAACUCCAUUCAUACGGGCAGGGCCUGAAAUAACGCACAGCCAGGCUGACUCCCAGCCCAACACGGGUAGCUGCAGUUACAGCCCGACUGAUCCGAGUUCAGUCAUCUUUACACACAGCACUAUCUAUUGAAUUGAAAACACAGGGAAACAAAGCUGGAGGGAGAAACUGCCAGUGUUUGUCUACGUUGUGCAUCCAGCAGACCUCCCCCACAUCUCAAAGGGUUAUAGAAUGUAUUAACUGAGCUUCAGAAUGCCUAAUAAGUACGUAAUUGCAGACUAAUUUCCCCUUUCCUAGACGUGAAUUUACAGUGGUGGCAAAAAAGGAAUGAAGCAAACAAACAAAAAGCACAGUUUUCUUCAAACUUGAAAGUGCUGAGAGCUGAUGCUGUCGCGGUGAGCUGUGCUGGUGGGGGUUUGGCACAAGAAGGGCAACUUGGAGCAGGUAAUGGCUGGGUGCCCCCAGAGCCGCCUACGCCUGCUCCAGCCCCAUGCCCAUCCCCUGUGCCCACAAACGAUUUCUUUGUGUCUGUGGUCUGAGGAAAUGAGCCAGCUGAGUUAGCAACUUCUUUGCUGGCUGUUUCUCAGUGACUGCAGCAUAAAAAGCACAGGAGAAAGGAGGGAGCACCUAGCUGUGUUGCUGUUCAGUGCUGAUGCUAAAUGCCAUCAGGCUAAAGCUGGCUCCAUGAACAUGGAAACCCAUCCAAAGUCUCAUGCCACCCAAACUAAAGGCUUCUCCCAUCUUUAUGCAGUAACUUCACCCUGAGAGAAAACACCGCUUCUCCUGAUUGCAUCUUUGUCGUCUUCUGCGAAUAACUGAUUGCCCGAGAUAGAAGGGGAAAUGAGGGUGACAGCCUGCUUGCUGGUCAGACAGUCUCUAAUGGAGGCCACAAAGAUGGCGAUCUGGCGCACACACGGUGUGUGAUGAGCAGCUGAGCUCCCUUUGUUUGUUCAGCCUGGAGCAGAGACUGAGGGGAGGCCCAGCAAUGGCUGCAGCUCCUCAUGGGGCAAUGGGGACCGGGGGGGUGGCUCUGGGGAGGAGCUCGGUGGGGGAAGGCUGCACCCCAGAGAGUGGUGGGACACCACUGGCACACGGGGUUGGGCUUUGGGGUGGUUCUGUGUGAGGCCGGGGGCUGAGCUGUUCUUGGGAUGCCACUUGGGAUGUUCUGCAGUUGCACAUUGUUGAGGGAACGCCCUGCAAAUCAAUGAUGCAUGAUCAAGUCUGUCAGCCCUUGGGCAACAGUGUUACACCUCGUUGACACAGCUGCAGGGCUGAUAAAUAAAUGCGUUUUUCAGGGCUGCCUCAGGUGGCCCCCAAGUUUUCUCCUCCUUAUUUUUCUCAAAAGAACAAUACCAACAGGUUUCAGCAUCCUAAAGCCUACCAGUAAACCUCAGAAAUCAAACUGCAACCGGAGAAGCUGUGGAGGAAACUUAAUAUAUGAAAAAUGAUCUUCUAAAAAUCAUACAGGAUGUUCCUUCACCAAUUCUCUGUAUUGAUUCCUGUAACAUCAUCUUCUUUCUCCUUUUCUUCUUUUAAUGCAUUUCUAUUUCUUCCAAACACAGGAAAAAAAAAAAAAACCAAAAAACGCAAACAUUUCCUUUACAAAACAGAACAAAGAGGUUUUUCUUUCCAAUCAGUAAUUUCGUUUUCUUUUGUAAAUGUAAGGAGAAACUCCUGAAAAAUCAAUAUAUCGUUGUCAAGUCACACACAGUCGGGAAUGGUGCAAGCUUAGUAAAUAAAGGAAAUUGCAAUGUUUCCCUCUCUUCAGUUGGCCUUCAGUGCAUCCAAGGUGACUGCCCAGCCCCGCCGUGCUCCUGGUUUGCUCCUCUGAAAAUGCAAAAGCUGAUCUCGGAGAUGAAAAGCAAAGUUUGAAAAGAAUUGUUCUUGGAGUCAAAAUUCCUGGUGUCCUAAAUUACAGCAACCCCCACCCGGAGCGAUUGGCUCCUCGGGGUAAUCUGAGCUCUCUCAAUUAACUGGCACAGAGAUAAAGAUUGCUCAUGCUAAAGUUGUCACAUAACACCGGGCUUAGAAAUUGGAAAAUCUCAAGCACAAGAAAGGUACCUUUUCACUUGUAUCUACAGCCUCAGCGUGUAUCAAUAUUUGGAUUUGGUUUAUACUCUCUUGAUGUGCAAAACGGAGGGAAUUAUAUACUGAAACAAAAGAAAAGGACUUUUUGUUGGAUUACCAUGUUAAUUAAAAUGUGGAAGACACCAUUUACCAUCUGAACACUUCAGAGUUUGAGUCUGUUGCUUUUGCAAGGCACAACGGGCAUCUGCAAAGUACGUGUGGAGUUCUGAAGCUCAGAUGUAAACCCCUUACAGACCCAAGAGGGGAAGAAGAUAUUUUAACGAGUUGUUUUGCACCUGCAAUUAAACAGACAUGCAGGCAAGUCUAAUUUACACUGAAACUUAAUUGCAAGCAUAAAUCUUGUGUAUACGUAUGACAUAAAUAAAACCUCUCCUAGCUGUUCAUGUUCUGUUACAAAGGAGCCGAGUCCCAUAGCUUUGUUUUGUUUUGUUUUGUGAUUAUAGGUUUUCUUUUGGGGUACGGCAUUGUUUUAAUGCAUCUGUCAUCGUCCCUGAAAAUACCCAGUUGUGGAGUGUCAAAAAAAUACCCAACAAAUGAGAUGCAGUUCGUCUUGGAGUUCCUCUGAACACUGGUGCCACUGACAGCCAGCAGCCAGGGUGGGUGAACGGGGGUGUGUGGGCCAUCAUUCAUGAAGUGAGCAUCCUGCAAAGGGGCUCUGCUGCUGUGGCAUGUUUGUGGAGGGAGCCGGGAUCGAGAGCACUACAAGGAAUGGCUCAGGGGAUUAUAGAACUGCUGAGGUCACUUUUAUCUUCUAAACAAUAUUUCAUGUGUGGAAAGGCACUUUGAGCCUCCUGGGGUGAGCACCGUAUGACUCCGGGUCGGCAGCCCUUACACCAAGAGCAGCUUCAUGAUGAAACCUAAAGCAGAAGGUAACAACAGAGCAUCCCCAAACCAACCAAGAAGCACUCCGGGGUGGAUGCCUUCCCCUGAAACAUCUCAUGCAAUUUAUUUCCAUAUCAGCUUGAAUAUUUGAAGGUUUUUGAGGGUUAGGAGAGGACACUGAAUGAGGCCAAGACGUAGAAGACUGAAGAGACCCAAAGCCACAGCAGAGCACCACGUCCAUCCUCCACAUAAAGCUGAUAUCUUUAUGGAGACUCACACUGAAGUAGGACUGGAUCUGUGAGGGUCAAAUUCUGAUUUUGUUGUUGGGAAAGGAUAGGCAGUGAAGGGGCUGCUAGAUUUGUUUCACUUCUCUCACAAAACGUAUUCCUGCCUGAAUUAUGAACCUGCUGUUAUGCUGAUAAGCCUGUUUAUGGUGUGACCUACUUAACCACAGCUCUGGUGGCUCGAGGCUCGCAGCAGCGCAAAGGCCAAAGGCCCCAAACAGGAAAAGAUAUCAUAUGGGGGAAAAAAAGUUUCCAAGCCUUUGUCCUUUACAUGCUGCAAGGUGUCAAGCACUGAACCAGCGCUGAGACCAUUGUUCAACCAACUGCUCUUUUCAAAUGGAAAUGUCUGCAAAAGCCAUGUCAGCAAAAGGAAUUCAUUGCUUCAACGUGGCUCCUAGCUUAUAUCCUACAAUAAAACCUGAGGCCUAUUA